rnacentral:tRNA from 1 species
GGAGGGAUGGUAGAGCGGUUUAUUGCACCGGUCUUGAAAACCGGAGACCCGAAAGGGUCCGUGGGUUCGAAUCCCACUCCCUCCG